rnacentral:RNase_P_RNA from 1 species
GAGAGUAGGCGCUGGCAGUUGCAGAACUGUCAUUAUGAUAGUUUUGAGGAAAGUCCGGGCUCCCAAAAGACCAAACUUGCUGGAUAACGUCCAGUGCGAGCGAUCGUGAGGAUAGUGCCACAGAAAGAUACCGCCAAAAUCAGUGAACAGUGAACAGUAAACAGUAACCAGUGAAAACCUGAUAACUGAUAACUGAUAACUGAUAACUGAAAAUGGUAAGGGUGCAAAGGUGCGGUAAGAGCGCACCAGCAGCGUCGAGAGGCGCUGGCUCGGUAAACCCCGGUUGGGAGCAAGGUCAAAGGAACUAAGGUUGGUCUUUUACCAGUUCCGUGUAUCAGAGCCGCUAGAGGCGUUUGGUAACAAGCGUCCCAGAUAGAUAACUGCCAUCAUGUAAAAUUUUUUACAUAGAUAACAGAACCCGGCUUACUACCAACUCUCUCUC